rnacentral:rRNA from 1 species
UACGGAGGAGGCAAGCGUUAUCCGGAAUUAUUGGGCGUAAAGAGUCCGUAGGUGGGUUAUCAAGUCAGUUGUUAAAAAGUGAAGCUUAACUUCAUAGGGGCAAUUGAAACUGAUAGUCUAGAGAGUGGUAGGGGUAGAGGGAAUUUCCAGUGUAGCGGUGAAAUGCGUAGAUAUUGGAAAGAACACCGGUGGCGAAAGCGCUCUACUGGGCCAUUACUGACACUGAGGGACGAAAGCUAGGGGAGCGAAAGGG